GAUGAACGCUGACAGAAUGCUUAACACAUGCAAGUCUUUGGCGAAGCUGUGCUUGCACAGCCUAGCCAAGGCGGACGGGUGAGUAACGCGUAAGGAACUUGCCCUGCAGUCAGGGAUAACAGACGGAAACGACUGAUAAGACCUGGUAAAGUCAGGCGGACUCAUGUCCAGCCUGAUGAAAAGAGAUGCUGCAGGAGAGCCUUGCGUCCUAUUAGCUUGUUGGUGGGGUAACGGCCCACCAAGGCGAUGAUAGGUAGCCGGCCUGAGAGGGUGGACGGCCACAAGGGGAAUGAGAUACGGCCCUUACUCCUACGGGAGGCAGCAGUGGGGAAUAUUGGACAAUGGGGGCAACCCUGAUCCAGCAAUUCUGUGUGCACGAUGAAGGUUUUCGGAUUGUAAAGUGCUUUCAGCAGGGAAGAAAAAAAAUGACGGUACCUGCAGAAGAAGCGACGGCUAAAUACGUG
rnacentral:rRNA from 1 species